UUAACCAACUUGACGAAUGUGACGAACUUAGCAGCGCUUGCAGCCUUGGCUGCUGGUAACCACACGGGGCUACAGGCCCUCACACAGCCCGGCUUCCACGGUGGACUUGGCAGUCCAGGCCUGGGGGGAAGCACGAGCGGCCUGGGCGGCACUGGUGCCCUCAACCCCAACCCUUCCAACCCUGCUGGUAAGCAAGUGGAAGGCCCCCCAGGAGCAAACUUGUUCAUCUAUCACUUGCCUCAAGACUUCGGCGACUCCGAU